rnacentral:rRNA from 1 species
UACGUAGGGGGCUAGCGUUGUCCGGAUUUAUUGGGCGUAAAGAGCGUGUAGGCGGCCAGGUAGGUCUGGUGUGAAAACUCGAGGCUUAACCUCGAGAUGUCAUCGGAAACCAUCUGGCUAGAGUCCGGAAGAGGAGAAUGGAAUUCCCGGUGUAGCGGUGAAAUGCGCAGAUAUCGGGAAGAACACCCGUGGCGAAGGCGGUUCUCUGGGACGGUACUGACGCUGAGACGCGAAAGCGUGGGGAGCGAACAGG